rnacentral:rRNA from 1 species
AACGAACGCUGGCGGCGUGCCUAACACAUGCAAGUCGAGCGCGAAAGGAGCAAUCCGAGUAGAGCGGCGCACGGGUGCGUAACACGUGGGUAAUCUGCCUCAAAGUCUGGAAUAACCUUCCGAAAGGUUGGCUAAUGCCGGAUAAGCUCACGGGGUCUUCGGACUCUGGGGGAAAAGGUGGCCUCUGUUUACAAGCUACCACUUUGAGAUGAGCCCGCGGCCCAUCAGCUAGUUGGCGGGGUAACGGCCCACCAAGGCAACGACGGGUAGCUGGUCUGAGAGGACGAUCAGCCACACUGGAACUGAGACACGGUCCAGACUCCUACGGGAGGCAGCAGUGGGGAAUUUUGCACAAUGGGCGAAAGCCUGAUGCAGCAACGCCGCGUGUGUGAUGAAGGUUUUCGGAUCGUAAAGCACUUUCGACCGGGACGAAUAAGCUUCACCUAAUACGUGAGGCCCUGACGGUACCGGGAGAAGAAGCACCGGCUAA